GCGUGUGUGAUGAAGGCCUUAGGGUUGUAAAGCACUUUCAACUGUGAAGAUGAUGACGGUAGCAGUAGAAGAAGCUCCGGCUAACUCCGUGCCAGCAGCCGCGGUAAUACGGAGGGAGCUAGCGUUGUUCGGAAUUACUGGGCGUAAAGCGCGCGUAGGCGGAUUAGCCAGUCAGAGGUGAAAUCCCAGGGCUCAACCCUGGAACUGCCUUUGAUACUGUUAAUCUCGAGUCCGGGAGAGGGUAGUGGAAUUCCAAGUGUAGAGGUGAAAUUCGU
rnacentral:rRNA from 1 species